UUUUACUUGUCUUGCCUUUAACUAAUUUGUUUAUGGUGUCAGGUUAUAUUAGAGUAUAUAAUAAAAUAUGUUGAUGCCGAAACGAGAUCGUACUGCUAUAUACGAAACAUUAUUUAAUGAUGGUGUUCUUACAGCUAUGAAAGAUUUUAAUGCGCCCCGUCAUCCUGAUGUAGAGGGCGUUAAAAAUUUGUAUGUUAUUAAAGCUUGCCAGUCUUUAGUUUCCAAGGGGUAUGCUACUGAACAAUUUUCAUGGAGACACUAUUAUUGGUAUUUGAACAACGAUGGAGUGAACUACCUCAGAGAAUAUUUACAUUUGCCAAGCGAUGUUGUACCCGCCACCAUUAAAAAGAGAGCACCUCCUGUUCCUAUGAAUCGUUUUCCCCAGUCGACUGGCUUGCGUGAUAACCGCCCACGAAAUGAUCGUGAGAGUUAUCGUCGUUAUAUUGGCGCUGAAAAGAAAGAGGGUCCAGGCCCUGAUUUUAGACCUACCUUUAUGGGGAGGGGUCGCGGAAGCGCUCGUAAUUAUCCUGCUCAAUCAAAUAUUGAUUCCAAUUUUUAAAGUUUUUUAGAAUAUAUAAAUGAA